GACGAACGCUGGCGGCGUGCUUAAUACAUGCAAGUCAACUGAAGCAGUGCUAGCAAUAUCGCUGGCGAGAUGGGGCACGGGGGAGGAAAAAGUAGGGAAACUGGCCUCAGGUUUGGCAUAACCUCGGGGAAACGGGGCCAAUAACAGAAGAUGCAGCCGCUCGACAUGGAGGCGGUUGUUAAAGCUAUGCCGCCUGAAGUUGAGCCUGCGUCUGCUUACCUAGUUGUCGGGGUAACUGCUCACAAAGGCUACGAUCAGUAGCUGGUCGGGGAGGUUGAUCAGCCACACUGGAGCUGAGACACGGUCCAGACUCCUACGCAGAGCAGCAGUAAGGACUAUUGCUCAAUAUGAGACAUCCUGAAGCGGCAACGCCGCGUGAGGGACGACGGGCUUUUGCUUGUAAACCUCUGUAGUGAGAGAAAAAAAUCCCAAUCUUUGGGACAUGAUGGUAUCUCAAAAGUAAGCCCCGGCUAACUACGUG
rnacentral:rRNA from 1 species